UACGUAGGGUGCAAGCGUUGUCCGGAAUUAUUGGGCGUAAAGAGCUCGUAGGCGGUUUGUCGCGUCUGCUGUGAAAUCCCAGGGCUUAACCCUGGGCCUGCAGUGGGUACGGGCAAACUAGAGUGCGGUAGGGGAGAUCGGAAUUCCUGGUGUAGCGGUGAAAUGCGCAGAUAUCAGGAUGAACACCAAUAACGGCGAAGGCAGUUAACUAUUCUGUUACUGACAUUGAGGCACGAAAGCGUGGGGAGCAAAAAGG
rnacentral:rRNA from 1 species